rnacentral:misc_RNA from 1 species
GGGACGGAUGCGGAGGGGGGCGGAUGGGGAGGGGAACUUGAAGUCUUUGACUUUAGAGGAGGGGGGUGGGCAGCAUUUUAUGGGCCUGGCGCCACUGGGGAGGUCGGGUUCGCCGCACUGGGAGAGGUUUGGUGCUUCGAUGGGGAGGCUGAGGGCUGGGAGGGAGGUGCCGAGGCCAUAAAGGCCGCCGAGGCCGAUGAGGAUGUCACGGCGAUCGAGCUUAUCGUCGGCACCGUUGGCUUUACAAGUGAUGGUAGGGCGUGGUUUGGGUCUAUUGAGAGAGACGUUGGGUAGUGCCCUCGA